AUUGAACGCUGGCGGAAUGCUUUACACAUGCAAGUCGAACGGUAGAGGGGGCAACCCCUCGAGAGUGGCGAACGGGUGAGUAAUAUAUCGGAACGUGCCCAGUCGUGGGGGAUAACGUAGCGAAAGUUACGCUAAUACCGCAUACGAUCUAAGGAUGAAAGCGGGGGAUCGCAAGACCUCGCGCGAUUGGAGCGGCCGAUAUCAGAUUAGGUAGUUGGUGGGGUAAAGGCUCACCAAGCCAACGAUCUGUAGCUGGUCUGAGAGGACGACCAGCCACACUGGAACUGAGACACGGUCCAGACUCCUACGGGAGGCAGCAGUGGGGAAUUUUGGACAAUGGACGCAAGUCUGUUCCAGCCAUUCCGCGUGCAGGAUGAAGGCCCUCGGGUUGUAAACUGCUUUUGUACGGAACGAAAAGGUCUCUCUUAAUACGGGGGACUCAUGACGGUACCGUAAGAAUAAGCACCGGCUAACUACGUGCCAGCCGCCGCAGUAAUAC
rnacentral:rRNA from 1 species